GGACGUCGAGCGGCGGACGGGUGAGUAACGGCUGGGAACCUGCCCUGACGAGGGGGAUAACCGUUGGAAACGACGGCUAAUACCGCAUAAUGUCUUGAUUCGUUAGAGUCAGGACCAAAGGUGGCCUCUACAUGUAAGCUAUCGCGUUGGGAUGGGCCCAGUUAGGAUUAGCUAGUUGGUAAGGUAAUGGCUUACCAAGGCAACGAUCCUUAGCUGGUUUGAGAGGAUGAUCAGCCACACUGGGACUGAGACACGGCCCAGACUCCUACGGGAGGCAGCAGUGGGGAAUAUUGCACAAUGGGGGAGACCCUGAUGCAGCCAUGCCGCGUGUGUGAAGAAGGCCUUCGGGUUGUAAAGCACUUUCAGCAGUGAGGAAGGUCGUGUACUUAAUACGUGCACGGCUUGACGUUAGCUGCAGAAGAAGCACCGGCUAACUCCGUGCCAGCAGCCGCGGUAAUACGGAGGGUGCGAGCGUUAAUCGGAAUUACUGGGCGUAAAGCGCAUGCAGGCGGUUUGUUAAGUCAGAUGUGAAAGCCCGGGGCUCAACCUCGGAACCGCAUUUGAAACUGGCAGGCUAGAGUCUUGUAGAGGGGGGUAGAAUUUCAGGUGUAGCGGUGAAAUGCGUAGAGAUCUGAAGGAAUACCAGUGGCGAAGGCGGCCCCCUGGACAAAGACUGACGCUCAGAUGCGAAAGCGUGGGUAGCAAACAAGGAUUAGAUACCCUGGUAGUCCACGCCGUAAACGCUGUCUACUUGGAAGGUUGGAGGUUUUAGACUUUGGCUUUCGGCGCUAACGCAUUAAGUAGACCGCCUGGGGAGUACGGCCGCAAGGUUAAAACUCAAAUGAAUUGACGGGGGCCCGCACAAGCGGUGGAGCAUGUGGUUUAAUUCGAUGCAACGCGAAGAACCUUACCUACUCUUGACAUCCAGCGAAGCCUUUAGAGAUAGAGGCGUGCCUUCGGGAGCGCUGAGACAGGUGCUGCAUGGCUGUCGUCAGCUCGUGUUGUGAAAUGUUGGGUUAAGUCCCGCAACGAGCGCAACCCUUAUCCUUGUUUGCCAGCACGUAAUGGUGGGAACUCCAGGGAGACUGCCGGUGAUAAACCGGAGGAAGGUGGGGACGACGUCAAGUCAUCAUGGCCCUUACGAGUAGGGCUACACACGUGCUACAAUGGCAGAUACAGAGGGCAGCGAGACAGCGAUG
rnacentral:rRNA from 1 species